rnacentral:misc_RNA from 1 species
CGAGAUGCGAUAAGUAAUGUGAAUUGCAGAAUUCCGUGAAUCAUCGAAUCUUUGAACGCACAUUGCGCCCUCUGGUAUUCCGGGGGGCAUGCCUGUCCGAGCGUCAUUGCGAACCCCUCAAGCACGGCUUGUGUGAUGGGCCCUCCCGCGUCUUGGUCGUCAAGACGGGCCCGAAAUGCAGUGGCGGCUUCGCGGUUAUCCGAUCAGCCAGAGCGUAUGGGGACUUUCUCUCUGUCACACGCCCGCGGCGCGGACCGACGCCUGUCGACCUUUAUUCAUCUUUUUCUCGGUUGACCUCGGAUCAGGUAGGGAUACCCGCUGAACUUAAGC